UACGUAGGCGGAAAAUUAAGUCAGUGGUGAAAUCCCGCAGCUCAACUGUGGAACUGUCAUUGAUACUGGUUUUCUUGAAUUUAGUUGAGGUAGGCGGAAUGUGUAAUGUAGCGGUGAAAUGCUUAGAUAUUACACAGAACACCGAUUGCGAAGGCAGCUUACUAAACUAUGAUUGACGCUGAGGUACGAAAGCGUGGGGAGCGAACAGGAUUAGAUACCCUGGUAGUCC
rnacentral:rRNA from 1 species